rnacentral:rRNA from 1 species
UACGAAGGGGGCUAGCGUUGCUCGGAAUCACUGGGCGUAAAGGGUUCGUAGGCGGUGCGGCAAGUUGGGAGUGAAAUCUCUGGGCUCAACCCAGAGGCUGCUUCCAAAACUGCUGUGCUUGAGUGUGGGAGAGGCGCGUGGAAUUGCAGGUGUAGCGGUGAAAUGCGUAGAUAUCUGCAGGAACACCCGUGGCGAAAGCGGCGCGCUGGACCACAACUGACGCUGAGGAACGAAAGCUAGGGGAGCAAACAGG